rnacentral:lncRNA from 1 species
AAAUACCGUUCGGCACCCGGCACCAUUUUCGAUUCCACGUCGACCAGUCUCGAUCCGCCGCUGCAGCAUGAGGCGGCCCAGGCAACUGUCGAACGCUUCCAGUGCAUUCACUCCGAAAGUCACCUUCGAGGAACCUGAAAAACGGGACAAUCCCGAGCGACCUAGAGGCGGCCGGUCUCCGCGAAAAGUCUCCUUCGGAGAACCUGAUAAACGGG